CCCUUAGAUGUUCUGGGCCGCACGCGUGCUACACUGAGUAAUUCAAUGGGUAAGGGAACGCUAGAGCAUUACCUAAUCUUGAAAUUUGCUCGUGAUGGGGAUCGACGGUUGCAAUUUUCCGUCGUGAACGAGGAAUACCUUAUAGGCGCAUGUCAUCAUCAUGCGCCGAAUACGUCCCUGCCCUUUGUACACACCGCCCGUCGCUCCUACCGAUUGAGUGAUCCGGUGAGGCUCUGGGACCUGGACGGAAAGAGCGUUUCGCUUGUUCUGUUUGGGAAACUUGGUCGAACCUUAUCAUUUAGAGGAAGGAGAAGUCGUAACA
rnacentral:rRNA from 1 species